UCCUGGUCACCGCCUAAUCGAUGCGGAUGCAUCGAACCGGGGACCCAGGUUCGUUGGGGUGAAUCCCAGGCGCGAGGCCGGCGACCGAUCGCCACCGCGCGCCGGGUAGGGCUACUUCCUGGCCCGAACCCGUCAGCUAACUCGGUCGGCGGCAAGGAAGAAGGG
rnacentral:sRNA from 2 species